UAGCUUGAUCCUGGCUCAGGAUGAACGCUAGCGGCAGGCUUAAUACAUGCAAGUCGUGGGGCAGCAGCUCUGUAGCAAUACAGAGGCUGGCGACCGGCAAACGGGUGCGGAACACGUACGCAACCUACCCAAAACUGAGGAAUAGCCCGGGGAAACCCGGAUUAAUACUUCGUAACAUAUUAGAAAGGCAUCUUUUUAAUAUUAUAGCUCAGGCGGUUUUGGAUGGGCGUGCGGCUGAUUAGGUAGUUGGUGAGGUAACGGCCCACCAAGCCUGCGAUCAGUAACUGGUGUGAGAGCACGACCAGUCACACGGGCACUGAGACACGGGCCCGACUCCUACGGGAGGCAGCAGUAAGGAAUAUUGGUCAAUGGACGCAAGUCUGAACCAGCCAUGCCGCGUGGAGGAUGAAGGUCCUCUGGAUUGUAAACUUCUUUUAUCUGGGAAGAAAUCCCCGAAUUCUUUCGGGGUUGACGGUACCAGGUGAAUAAGCACCGGCUAACUCCGUGCCAGCAGCCGCGGUAAUACGGAGGGUGCAAGCGUUAUCCGGAUUCACUGGGUUUAAAGGGUGCGUAGGUGGGUCUGUAAGUCCGUGGUGAAAUCUUCGAGCUUAACUCGGAAACUGCCAUGGAUACUAUAGGUCUUGAAUAUCGUGGAGGUGAGCGGAAUAUGUCAUGUAGCGGUGAAAUGCUUAGAUAUGACAUAGAACACCAAUUGCGAAGGCAGCUCACUACACGAAUAUUGACACUGAGGCACGAAAGC
rnacentral:rRNA from 1 species